rnacentral:rRNA from 1 species
UACGGAGGGUGCGAGCGUUGUUCGGAAUCACUGGGCGUAAAGCGCGUGUAGGCGGCCCACUAAGUCUGAUGUGAAAGCCCGGGGCUCACCCCCGGAAGUGCAUUGGAAACUGGUGGACUCGAGUCCCGGAGAGGAGAGUGAAAUUCCUGGUGUAGCGGUGAAAUGCGUAGAUAUCAGGAGGAACACCGGUGGCGAAGGCGGCUCUCUGGACGGUGACUGACGCUGAGGAGCGAAAGCUAGGGGAGCAAACGGG